rnacentral:rRNA from 1 species
CGCGGUUGCGUCCUUGGUGAUUCAUAAUAACUUGUCGAAUCGUAUGGCCUUGUGCCGGCGAUGCAUCAUUCAAAUAUCUGCCCUAUCAACUUUCGAUGGUAGGAUAGUGGCCUACCAUGGUUUCAACGGGUAACGGGGAAUAAGGGUUCGAUUCCGGAGAGGGAGCCUGAGAAACGGCUACCACAUCCAAGGAAGGCAGCAGGCGCGCAAAUUACCCAAUCCCGACACGGGGAGGUAGUGACAAUAAAUAACAAUAUAGGGCUCUUUUGGGUCUUAUAAUUGGAAUGAGUACAAUUUAAAUCCCUUAACGAGGAACAAUUGGAGGGCAAGUCUGGUGCCAGCAGCCGCGGUAAUUCCAGCUCCAAUAGCGUAUAUUAAAGUUGUUGCAGUUAAACAAGCUCGUAGUUCGAACUUCAGAUUUGGUCGGGUGGUACCGCUU